UCUAGAACCGACAGUUGCGCGUGAAAAAUAAUGAGCUACACACAAAUGAUGGGGACUCAUUGUCAGGAAUUCCCAUAGUUUGACAAGUGUCCAGCGUGUGAGGAUGACAGUAGUUCAUUUUUCGUCGUCUUUAAAAAUAUAGCUCGCAUGAGGGGGAAGGUUUACUGACGGCCGUGAUUGGGUCACGUGAAAAAAGGCAGCAACUGAACUACUAUGUUUAAAUAAAGAGGUUUGUGUUGCUACGUAUUUUGAAUGAAGGAGUCGGGCAAAAAGCAACGUUUUUCCGGCGUCGCUGAGACCUGUAAGGAGUAUGCUGCGACCUACAGAUCUCCUCCUACGCCAUAAGGCAAAUAACACUGUAAUCAGAAUAGACAAUUAUUUGAACAAUGCAAUUUAGCUUGAUAAAAUCGACAAGGAAUGUAUCAAUAGUGAUAUUAGUCUUCACCAUUAGCACAGGAAUUAUUUGGGUAAUUUUUUCGUACAUUCAGUCAUUGAUAUCACGUUUAUACAGCGAUGUAUCUAGUUUGUUAUUACAUACUUAAUUAUGAUGCUAAAGUUUUAUGUUUUUUAUUCGUUAUAAUCAUAUUAUUGUACAAUUAUUGUAAAUUCUAUGAACUCAAUUUGAUGUGAUAUUUUUCAUCAAAUGAAUCAACUCUUGCCCAUGAAAUAGUCCGGAAUAUUAUAUGUUUAACGUGUUAACAUAUGACUAGUACGUAAGGUUACUUCUUAAAUGCAUGGAUAAACAUACUGAAUAAAUAUUUUUUCACUUUCUGAUUAAGUGACGUUUCUGUGAAUAUUGUAAAUUUUAGUGAAAAUAGAUACACAAUGGUUAAUAUAUUUUUAUACACAUGGGAGAGAUUAUUAAGUAGGAUAAUUUUGGAAAGCACAAUAUGUGAAUGAGACGUUAUAACCUCAAAUCGCUGUAUUGUGUAUUAAAAAAUUACCUAACGUCAUAAAUAUGACAAAUACUGCAACGAGCAUUCCGACAAAUUGCGUGCUUUCAUCGCUUUUAGCGACUAUCCUAUCUCCACGUUUUUCCAUCUUUAAAUAAUCACUGAUAUUUAUCGACGACAAUCAACCCUUGCAAA